rnacentral:tRNA from 1 species
GGGUUCGUAGUCUAGUGGCUAUGACGUCUGCUUAAGCGAUGCUGCAGUAGACGUGCAGAAGGCCGGCGGUUCGAAUCCGCCCGAACCCA